rnacentral:sRNA from 1 species
CCAAAUGUCUAUCGUCUCUUACGGUAAAGAGAAACCAGCAGUCUUAGGUCAUGAUCAAGCUGCAUGGGCGAAAAACCGUCGUGCUGUAUUGGUAUACUAAGAGAAAACUAUGAUUAGUAACUUCAGACUUCAUACAUUG